rnacentral:rRNA from 1 species
CCUACGGGGGGCAGCAGUGGGGAAUCUUGCGCAAUGCGCGACAGCGUGACGCAGCAACGCCGCGUGGGGGAAGAAGGCCUUCGGGUUGUAAACCCCUUUCAGGAGGGACGAAGCUUCGGGGGCGAAUAGCUCUCCGGAGUGACGGUACCUCCAGAAGAAGCCCCGGCUAACUACGUGCCAGCAGCCGCGGUAAUACGUAGGGGGCCAGCGUUGUCCGGAAUCAUUGGGCGUAAAGCGCGCGUAGGCGGCCAGACAAGUCCGGUGUAAAAGUCAAAGGCUCAACCUUUGAAAGCCGCUGGAAACUGUCUGGCUCGAGUCCGGGAGAGGCGAGUGGAAUUCCUGGUGUAGCGGUGAAAUGCGCAGAUAUCAGGAGGAACACCGAUGGCGAAGGCAGCUCGCUGGAACGGUACUGACGCUGAGGCGCGAAAGCGUGGGGAGCG